rnacentral:rRNA from 1 species
AACGAACGCUGGCGGCAUGCCUAACACAUGCAAGUCGAACGAAGCCUUCGGGCUUAGUGGCGCACGGGUGCGUAACGCGUGGGAAUCUGCCCCUUGCUUCGGAAUAACAGUUAGAAAUGACUGCUAAUACCGGAUGAAGUCUUCGGACCAAAGAUUUAUCGGCAAGGGAUGAGCCCGCGUAGGAUUAGGUAGUUGGUGGGGUAAAGGCCUACCAAGCCGACGAUCCUUAGCUGGUCUGAGAGGAUGAUCAGCCACACUGGGACUGAGACACGGCCCAGACUCCUACGGGAGGGAGCAGUGGGGAAUAUAGGACAACGGACGCAAGGCUGAUGCAGCAAUGCCGCGUGAGUGAUGAAGGCCGUAGGGAUGUAAAGCUCGUUUACCAGGGAUGAUAAUGACAGUACCUGGAGAAUAAGCUCCGGCUAACUCCGUG